rnacentral:rRNA from 1 species
UACAGAGGUCUCAAGCGUUGUUCGGAUUCAUUGGGUGUAAAGGGUGCGUAGGCGGCCAACUAAGUCAGACGUGAAAUCCCUCGGCUUAACCGGGGAACUGCGUCUGAUACUGGAUGGCUUGAGGUUGGGAGAGGGAUGCGGAAUUCCAGGUGUAGCGGUGAAAUGCGUAGAUAUCUGGAGGAACACCGGUGGCGAAGGCGGGUCUCUGGGCAGUAACUGACGCUGAGGAACGAAAGCCAGGGGAGCAAACGGG